rnacentral:rRNA from 1 species
AGCAGCCGCGGUAAUUCCAGCUCCAAUAGCGUAUAUUAAAGUUGUUGCAGUUAAAAAAGCUCGUAGUUGAAUUUCGGGAUCAAUAUGUUGGUCGUGCCUUGGUACGUACUGGCGUCAUUGGUUUCUACCUUCUGAAGAACCUCGAUGUCAUUAAUUUGGUGUCUUGGGGAAUCAGGACUGUUACUUUGAAAAAAUUAGAGUGUUUAGAGCAGGCUAGCGCUUGAAUACAUUAGCAUGGAAUAAUGAAAUAGGACGUUCGAUCCUAUUUUGUUGGUUUCUAGGAUUGACGUAAUGAUUAAUAGGGAUAGUUGGGGGCAUUAGUAUUCAAUUGUCAGAGGUGAAAUUCUUGGAUUUAUUGAAGACUAACUACUGCGAAAGCAUUUGCCAAGGAUGUUUUCGUUAAUCAAGAACGAAAGUUAGGGGAUCGAAAGACGAUCAGAUACCGGUCGUAGUCUUAACCAUAAACUAUGCCGACGUAGGGAAUCGGAUGAUGUUAAUUUUUAAUGACUUCAUUCGGUCG